rnacentral:rRNA from 1 species
AUGGCAUAUCGAAUGGUAUGCGCUCCCCAAGUCAUUGAUCUCGAGUCUGAGCGAGGGCAUCCUCAUGUUCAUUCUGAAAGUUUAAUUCACAAUGGGAAUGAUUUGUCCGACCAAGGCAGUCAAUAUACUGUCAGAGUUGUAGGCAAUGCUAUGAAUGCUGGUCUUUCUGAUACACAGGGUUACUACAAUAUGAGCAUGAAUCAUCCACAUCAGCCUGUUCAUAGUUCUCCGCCAAAUUUAGGCGUUGAUUCAGGUUUUGUCUUCCCAUCAAAUAUGUACAACCCUUGCAUGUCAACAUCUAUGAACAGAUAUGUCUCUCAUGCUCAGAGCUUUGGAUUGCCUUUAAACCAAGUUGUCUCAGGAAGUAUGGAUGGAAGUACUAGAAAUGAAAAUGUCAGCGAAACUGCUAGAGGAUUCAUUAAAAGGAAAAAUGCCGCAGUGGCAGGAACUUGUCAUUUUGUUAAUGGAUCUGCAAGCUCAAGCUCAUCCUCUCAUACAUCUCAAAAUCCUACACAUAGGCCAUGGGAUCCUUCUUUUGAGUCAAAUGUUUUUCCUAAUGUCACACCAUUCAACCCAUCAGAAUAUCAUAGCCACAGCACUUGGCCAUCUGUGGAAGGAUCUUCCAUUACUGGAUCAAAUGGGUUUAAUUUGAUGGCUGCUCACCCAGAAUCAGCACAGCAUGGUAACUAUACAUUUCAAUCAAGUCAUGCUAGUCAGUGCUUUCAACCUGCCAGCACUACUUGGGUUUCCCAGGCUGCAACUGGAAUUGUGGAAGGAGUACCACAGUGGUCAUACAUCAAUGCAAUGUCUAGUGUUCCAGCAGGCAGAUUUGCACAUUCAGGGGCCACAGAAAUAGUGAAUGGAGGCUUUCAUGAAUAUCAGAAUGGCCCUUCAACCAUUUCUCAAGGGCAUUUACCUUAUUUUCAUCAACAUGCUGUGCAUAGCAUGCAACCUCAUAAUCCACUGGAUCAUACACGAGUGCAAGUCCCUUACCAACAAGGCCACAAUAAUGGCAUCUUGCAUAGUGGGGUAAAUCAUUCUGGUAACCGGUUCCACUUGAGUCCAAGAACUCCAGGUCUCUUCUCUAAUUCUGAGCGGUCUUUUGGGCCUCCACAGCAUCCGUUCCUGGUGAACCCAGUUAAUCAUAGGAACUUAAGAAUUUUGCCACCUCUGCAGCAUGGUGCAAUCAUGGAUUUUUCGAGGUUGUAUGAGGGGUCAAAUGUAGUAGAUGAGCAUAGAGAUAUGCGUCUAGAUAUAGACAGCAUGACCUAUGAGGAGCUUUUAGCAUUAGAAGAGCACAUUGGAGACGUCAAUACAGGUCUGGCAAAAAGCCACAUUGUAGAUAAAUUGAAGACUAGCUUAUAUGUGCCAGGAGCAACCUGCGUGUCUAAUCAGUCAUCUGAACCUUCCACAGAGAAUGAGGCUUGCAUAAUAUGCCAGGAGGAGUACGAGGCUGAGGACUGCGUUGGAAUCCUGGAUUGUGGCCACAGAUACCAUGCGGUGUGCUUAAAACAGUGGCUGACGGUAAAGAACCUAUGCCCCAUCUGCAAGACAACAGCUUUGUCUGCGGGUAGAAGAAGUUGA